rnacentral:tRNA from 1 species
GGAAACGUGGCCGAGCGGUUUAAGGCACCGGUCUUGAAAACCGGCGACGGGUAACCGUCCGUGAGUUCGAAUCUCACCGUUUCCGCCA